UGGGGAAUAUUGCACAAUGGGCGCAAGCCUGAUGCAGCCAUGCCGCGUGUAUGAAGAAGGCCUUCGGGUUGUAAAGUACUUUCAGCGGGGAGGAAGGGAGUAAAGUUAAUACCUUUGCUCAUUGACGUUACCCGCAGAAGAAGCACCGGCUAACUCCGUGCCAGCAGCCGCGGUAAUACGGAGGGUGCAAGCGUUAAUCGGAAUUACUGGGCGUAAAGCGCACGCAGGCGGUUUGUUAAGUCCGAUGUGAAAUCCCCGGGCUCAACCUGGGAACUGCAUCUGAUACUGGCAAGCUUGAGUCUCGUAGAGGGGGGUAGAAUUCCAGGUGUAGCGGUGAAAUGCGUAGAGAUCUGGAGGAAUACCGGUGGCGAAGGCGGCCCCCUGGACGAAGACUGACGCUCAGGUGCGAAGGCGUGGGGAGCAAACAGG
rnacentral:rRNA from 1 species